GACGAACGCUGGCGGCGUGCUUAACACAUGCAAGUCGAGGGGCAGCAUGAACUUAGCUUGCUAAGUUUGAUGGCGACCGGCGCACGGGUGAGUAACACGUAUCCAACCUUCCGUUUACUCAGGGAUAGCCUUUCGAAAGAAAGAUUAAUACCUGAUAGUAUGGUGAGAUUGCAUGAUAACACCAUUAAAGAUUUAUUGGUAAACGAUGGGGAUGCGUUCCAUUAGGUAGUAGGCGGGGUAACGGCCCACCUAGCCUGCGAUGGAUAGGGGGUUCUGAGAGGAAGGUCCCCCACAUUGGAACUGAGACACGGUCCAAACUCCUACGGGAGGCAGCAGUGAGGAAUAUUGGUCAAUGGACGAGAGUCUGAACCAGCCAAGUAGCGUGAAGGAUGAAGGUCCUACGGAUUGUAAACUUCUUUAUAAGGGAAUAAAACCUCCCACGUGUGGGAGCUUGUAUGUACCUUAUGAAUAAGCAUCGGCUAACUCCGUG
rnacentral:rRNA from 1 species